rnacentral:ncRNA from 1 species
CUGGUUAAUCCUUCUAGUAGUCAUUUACUAGUCUAAAAGAUUAAACCAUGCAUGUGUAAGUAUGAACAAAUUCAGACUGUGAAACUGCGAAUGGCUCAUUAAAUCAGUUAUAGUUUGUUUGAUGGUAUCUACUACUCGGAUAGCCGUAGAAAUUAUAGAUGUAAUACAUGCAACAAACCCCAACUUAUGGAACAGAUGCAUUUAUUAGAUAAAAGGUCAACUUAGGCUUUUCCCGUUGUUGUGAUGAUACAUGAUAAUUCGAUGAAUUACACGGCCAUCGUAUCGGCAAUGCAUUAUUCAAAUUUCAGCCCUAUCAAUUUUCAAACGUAGGAUUGUGGCAUACCAUGGUGGUAAUGGGUGAUGAAGAAUUAGGGUUUGAUUUCGGAGAAGGAGCCUCCAAAAAGGGUACUACAUCCAAGGAAGGCAGCAGGCAUGCAAAUUACCCAAUCCUGACACGGGGAGGUAUUGACCAUAAAUAACAAUACCGGGCUCAAUGAGUCUGGUAAUUGGGAUAAGUACAAUCUAAAUCCCUUAACGAGGAUCCAUUUGAGGGAAAGUCUGGCGCCGGUAGCCAAGGUAAUUCCAGCUCCAAUAGCGUAUAUU